AGGUCACCGUUGAAACCCUUGGGAAGGACGUGAACAUGAUGAAGGAUUGUUUUGAAAAGAUAUGCCCAGAAAAAGUGGACCUCUUAUCUGAGGACUUGAAAACGCAGAACCAGAAGAUGAGCACACUGCAGCAUGAAGUGGAUUCUCUCAAGAACAGGAUUCACGCUCUCCCCAAAGCUGAGGAUCUGGU
rnacentral:lncRNA from 1 species